rnacentral:piRNA from 1 species
UACUUCUUAGUCACCUUUCUGAGCCAUGC